GAGGGUAGAGCUCAGUGGUAGAGCACAUGCUUAGCAUGCAUGAGGUCCUAGGUUCAAUUCCCAGCACCUCCA
rnacentral:tRNA from 1 species